CAGUCGCCGCGGGAACACGAAGGGGGCUAGCGUUGUUCGGAUUUACUGGGCGUAAAGCGCACGUAGGCGGAUUCUUAAGUCAGAGGUGAAAUCCCAAGGCUCAACCUUGGAACUGCCUUUGAUACUGGGGAUCUUGAGUCCGGGAGAGGUGAGUGGAACUGCGAGUGUAGAGGUGAAAUUCGUAGAUAUUCGCAAGAACACCAGUGGCGAAGGCGGCUCACUGGCCCGGUACUGACGCUGAGGUGCGAAAGCGUGGGGAGCGAACAGGAUUAGAUACCCGUGUAGUCCCUGUCUCUUAUAC
rnacentral:rRNA from 1 species